rnacentral:rRNA from 1 species
GACGAACGCUGGCGGCGUGCUUAACACAUGCAAGUCGAACGAAGAGCGAUGGAAGCUUGCUUCUAUCAAUCUUAGUGGCGAACGGGUGAGUAACGCGUAAUCAACCUGCCCUUCAGAGGGGGACAACAGUUGGAAACGACUGCUAAUACCGCAUACGAUCUAAUCUCGGCAUCGAGGAUAGAUGAAAGGUGGCCUCUACAUGUAAGCUAUCACUGAAGGAGGGGAUUGCGUCUGAUUAGCUAGUUGGAGGGGUAACGGCCCACCAAGGCGAGGAUCAGUAGCCGGUCUGAGAGGAUGAACGGCCACAUUGGGACUGAGACACGGCCCAGACUCCUACGGGAGGCAGCAGUGGGGAAUCUUCCGCAAUGGACGAAAGUCUGACGGAGCAACGCCGCGUGAGUGAUGACGGCCGUCGGGUUGUAAAGCUCUGUUAAUCGGGACGAAAGGCCUUCUUGCGAAUAGUGAGAAGGAUUGACGGUACCGGAAUAGAAAGCCACGGCUAACUACGUG